UACGUAGGGGCUAGCGUUGUCCGGAAUCAUUGGGCGUAAAGAGCGCGUAGGCGGCCAGAUAAGUCCGGUGUGAAAGUCAAAGGCUCAACCCUUUGAAUGCCGCUGGAAACUGUCUGGCUAGAGUCCGGGAGGGGCGAGUGGAAUUCCUGGUGUAGCGGUGAAAUGCGCAGAUAUACAGGAGGAACACCAAUGGCGAAGGCAGCUCGCUGGAACGGUACUGGCGCUGAGGCGCGAAAGCGUGGGGAGCA
rnacentral:rRNA from 1 species